rnacentral:ncRNA from 1 species
CAUUAAUAAUUCUUACUUAUAUAUCGUCAUAAUCAGGUUGACAGUCUCUACCCGGAACCGUAAAUUCCGGACUAUAGGUACAAG